CAAGGCGACGAUCCCUAGCUGGUCUGAGAGGAUGACCAGCCACACUGGAACUGAGACACGGUCCAGACUCCUACGGGAGGCAGCAGUGGGGAAUAUUGCACAAUGGGCGCAAGCCUGAUGCAGCCAUGCCGCGUGUAUGAAGAAGGCCUUCGGGUUGUAAAGUACUUUCAGCGGGGAGGAAGGUGUUGUGGUUAAUAACCGCAGCAAUUGACGUUACCCGCAGAAGAAGCACCGGCUAACUCCGUGCCAGCAGCCGCGGUAAUACGGAGGGUGCAAGCGUUAAUCGGAAUUACUGGGCGUAAAGCGCACGCAGGCGGUCUGUCAAGUCGGAUGUGAAAUCCCCGGGCUCAACCUGGGAACUGCAUUCGAAACUGGCAGGCUUGAGUCUUGUAGAGGGGGGUAGAAUUCCAGGUGUAGC
rnacentral:rRNA from 2 species